UACGUAGGGGGCAAGCGUUGUCCGGAUUUAUUGGGCGUAAAGAGCUCGUAGGUGGUUCGGUAAGUCGGAUGUGAAAUCUCCAGGCUCAACCUGGAGGGGUCAUUCGAUACUGCCGUGACUAGAGUUCGGUAGGGGAGAGUGGAAUUCCCGGUGUAGCGGUGAAAUGCGCAGAUAUCGGGAGGAACACCGGUGGCGAAGGCGGUUCUCUGGGCCUGUACUGACGCUGAGGAGCGAAAGCGUGGGGAGCGAACAGG
rnacentral:rRNA from 1 species